rnacentral:rRNA from 1 species
UACGUAGGGUGCAAGCGUUGUCCGGAAUUAUUGGGCGUAAAGGGCUCGUAGGCGGUCUGUCACGUCGGGAGUGAAAACUCAGGGCUUAACCCUGAGCCUGCUUCCGAUACGGGCAGACUAGAGGUAUGCAGGGGAGAACGGAAUUCCUGGUGUAGCGGUGAAAUGCGCAGAUAUCUGGAGGAACACCGGUGGCGAAGGCGGCAUCCUGGACCGGUAUUGACGCUGAGGCGCGAAAGCCAGGGGAGCAAACGGG